GACGAACGCUGGCGGCGUGCUUAACACAUGCAAGUCGUACGGUAAGGCCCUUUCGGGGGUACACGAGUGGCGAACGGGUGAGUAACACGUGAGUAACCUGCCAACAACUUUGGGAUAACGCUAGGAAACUGGUGCUAAUACUGGAUAUGUGCUCCUGCUGCAUGGUGGGGGUUGGAAAGCUCCGGCGGUUGUGGAUGGACUCGCGGCCUAUCAGCUUGUUGGUGGGGUAGUGGCCUACCAAGGCGGCGACGGGUAGCCGGCCUGAGAGGGUGACCGGCCACAUUGGGACUGAGAUACGGCCCAGACUCCUACGGGAGGCAGCAGUGGGGAAUAUUGCACAAUGGGCGCAAGCCUGAUGCAGCAACGCCGCGUGCGGGAUGACGGCCUUCGGGUUGUAAACCGCUUUCAGCAGGGACGAAGCUUUUUGUGACGGUACCUGCAGAAGAAGCACCGGCUAACUACGUG
rnacentral:rRNA from 1 species